rnacentral:rRNA from 1 species
UACGGAGGGCGCAAGCGUUGUCCGGAAUCAUUGGGCGUAAAGAGCUCGUAGGUGGUCUGUUACGUCUGCUGUGAAAUCCUAGGGCUUAACCCUGGGCCUGCAGUGGAUACGGGCAGACUAGAGGUAGGUAGGGGAGAAUGGAAUUCCCGGUGUAGCGGUGAAAUGCGCAGAUAUCGGGAGGAACACCGGUGGCGAAGGCGGUUCUCUGGGCCUUACCUGACACUGAGGAGCGAAAGCGUGGGGAGCGAACAGG